rnacentral:rRNA from 1 species
GACGGGGGGGGCAAGUGUUCUUCGGAAUGACUGGGCGUAAAGGGCGCGUAGGCGGCCGAUUAAGUCGGGGGUGAAAGCCUGUGGCUCAACCACAGAAUUGCCUCGAUACUGGUUGGCUUGAGACCGGAAGAGGACAGCGGAACUGCGAGUGUAGAGGUGAAAUUCGUAGAUAUUCGCAAGAACACCAGUGGCGAAGGCGGCUGUCUGGUCCGGUUCUGACGCUGAGGCGCGAAAGCGUGGGGAGCAAACAGG